GCGGCUUGAUAAGCCGGUUGUGAAAGCCCCGGGCUCAACCUGGGAACGGCAUCCGGAACUGUCAGGCUAGAGUGCAGGAGAGGAAGGUAGAAUUCCCGGUGUAGCGGUGAAAUGCGUAGAGAUCGGGAGGAAUACCAGUGGCGAAGGCGGCCUUCUGGACUGACACUGACGCUGAGGUGCGAAAGCGUGGGUAGCAAACAGGAUUAGAUACCCUGGUAGUCCACGCCGUAAACGAUGUCGACUAGCCGUUGGGCUCCUUGAGAGCUUUGUGGCGCAGUUAACGCGAUAAGUCGACCGCCUGGGGAGUACGGCCGCAAGGUUAAAACUCAAAUGAAUUGACGGGGGCCCGCACAAGCGGUGGAGCAUGUGGUUUAAUUCGAUGCAACGCGAAGAACCUUACCUACCCUUGACAUCGAGAGAACUUUCCAGAGAUGGAUUGGUGCCUUCGGGAACUCUCAGACAGGUGCUGCAUGGCUGUCGUCAGCUCGUGUUGUGAAAUGUUGGGUUAAGUCCCGUAACGAGCGCAACCCUUGUCCCUAUUUGCCAGCGAUUCGGUCGGGAACUCUAGGGAGACUGCCGGUGACAAACCGGAGGAAGGUGGGGACGACGUCAAGUCAUCAUGGCCCUUACGGGUAGGGCUACACACGUGCUACAAUGGCCGGUACAAUGGGUUGCGAAUCCGCGAGGUGGAGCUAAUCCCAUAAAGCCGGUCUCAGUCCGGAUCGGAGUCUGCAACUCGACUCCGUGAAGUCGGAAUCGCUAGUAAUCGUGAAUCAGAAUGUCACGGUGAAUACGUUCCCGGGCCUUGUACACACCGCCCGUCACACCAUGGGAGUGGACUGCACCAGAAGUGGUUAGCCUAACUUCGGAGGGCGAUCACC
rnacentral:rRNA from 1 species